rfam:Fusarium oxysporum f. sp. cubense tropical race 4 54006 unplaced genomic scaffold supercont1.38, whole genome shotgun sequence.
GGGCGAAUGGUUUAGUGGUAUAAUACUCCCUUAGCAUGUUCUCUUUCAAGAGAUGUACUUCUGGGAGUGGUCCAGGGUUCGAUUCCCUGUUCGUCCA